ensembl:rRNA 5S_rRNA 5S ribosomal RNA
GUCUACGGCCAUACUGCCCUGAGUUCGCCCGAUCCCGUUUGAUCUCGGAAGCUAAGCAGGGUCAGGCUUGGUUAGUACUUCGAUGGGAGACCACUUGGGAAUACCGGGUGCCGUAGACA